rnacentral:rRNA from 1 species
UACGUAGGGAGCGAGCGUUGUCCGGAUUCAUUGGGCGUAAAGAGCUCGUAGGCGGCUUGGUAAGUCGGAUGUGAAACCUCCAGGCUCAACCUGGAGUCGCCAUCCGAUACUGCCAUGGCUAGAGUCCGGUAGGGGCCCACGGAAUUCCUGGUGUAGCGGUGAAAUGCGUAGAGAUCGGGAGGAACACCAGAGGCGAAGGCGGCGACCUGGACAAGUACUGACACUCAACUACGAAAGCGUGGGGAGCAAACAGG